rnacentral:misc_RNA from 1 species
CUUGCGCAACAUCUGCCAUCACGCACGCCACCGAGCGCGCACAUACGCACACGGGAGUGUCUCUCUCUCUCCCUUUCUCUUUCUCUCGCGUACUUCCCUCAGUAAAGAAAAGGAAGUAGGACCCGGCUUAUCGCUGGCACGGCACCGUCGAGAAACGAAGUUGGUCCGCGCACGGCGCCACAUCGACGCAUGUAAACACCGAACAACCGUUCACCGUCUUCCUUCGCGCUUUCUCUCGUUGCUGUCCGCCUCGUGUUGCGCGUCGUCGUCUCUGCCGUGAAUCCGUCGCUGCAGCGGGCGCCAGCAUCCGCAUCGAAGCGUGUGUGUGUGUGUGUUCGUGUGCGACGGAGUGCGCCCUUCACCGUUGGCAGGGAGAACCACAGAAAACGAAACACGGCCGAAGGAGACGACGCGCGCACGCGCAGCGCCUAUUACCCGGCUCGUCGCCCAACGGCGCGCGCACGCCAACGCACCCACGACAUCAUCUACCCGAUAGCAGCAAAAUACAGCGAGCAGCAUGAACUCAGCCGGCACCGGCGCACCGAACAAGGCCACUGGUGUGUCGGCUUCCUCGUCAUCCAUGCAGAAGCACAAGCUGGUCCUUCUUGGCGACCAAUCCGUUGGCAAGACGAGCAUUAUCACCCGCUUCAUGUACGACACUUUUGACCAACAGUAUCAGCCAACGAUCGGCAUCGACUUCUUCUCCAAAACAGUUCACCUGGAAGAUGAUCGCGACGUCCGGCUGCACUUGUGGGACACGGCGGGGCAGGAGCGCUUCCACUCGCUGAUCCCCAGCUACAUCCGCAACAGUGCCGCGACCGUGGUGGUUUACGACAUCACUUCCCGUCCCACGUUCUUCAGCGCCUUCAAGUGGAUUGACGAGGUGCGCUCAGAGAGCGGCGAUGAUGUCGUCAUCAUGCUCGUCGGCAACAAGGUCGAUCAAGCCUCGGAGCGGCGUGAGGUGAGCGCCGAGGAGGCAAUGAAGAAGGCGUCCGAGUGCAACGUGCUCUUCAUGGAGGUGAGCGCCAAGCACGGCACAAACAUCAAGCACAUGUUUCGGCAGGUCGCUGCCGCGCUGCCGGCACCGGCUUCCACGGGUGGCGGUGCCGGUGUUAAUGGGGCGACGCCGUCGUCUGCUGGCGGCGUUGGCGCAGCGGGUGCGAGUGGCAGUGGCGCAGCAGCGCCCGGCAUCAGCGCUGGCCAAUUUGGUGGCGUAGUCCGGUCACCAUUCUUGAUCACUCCAUCCGCGAUGCAGGUGGCCUCGAACGGCACCGGGGGCGCUGGCGAGGCGGACGGUGCCAGCUCCAAUGCGCAGGGCGGUCGCGGUGGCGCUUGCUGCUGACGUGCGCGAGUGUGUGUGUGCGUGUGCGCUCCGAUCUCGUUGAAGUGAUUUGACAUCCUCCUUUUUCUCUCUCGCGCGCGCUUUUCUCGUUCUUUGCUCUAUCUUGAUGGCCGGUGUGGUUUGUGCGACAUGGAUGCCGCUGAGCGCGUCUCCGCCGCGCCGCGCGUUUUUUUUUUUCUGCGUGUGUGCCUGCUGCGCUUUCCUGGAAGAGGAAGGCUGUCCGUUGGUGGGGAAGCACACACACACAUACACACACGCACACGCAACCAGAUCUCGUUGGCGUGGCGGGACGUGGCACCGUUGUUUCGCUGGUGCUCGCCUUUCACGCAAAGGAGGGCGAAGCAGGCCAGACCAGACACACACCCGCGUGUCGCUGCUCCUCAUGGGCGACACCCUUGCUCGCUGCCUCUUCUUUUUCCGUUUUUUUUUUGUUGCUGGUGUGUGUGUGUGUAUGGCUGCUGCUCGCCUUGCGCCUGCGGAUGCGCCCGCCCCCCCCCCCCCUCCUGCGCACCCGCAGGCAUGCGCCGGAAAAGGUCGAGACGACAUGCAGAUCAGGACGGGGAGGGAAAAUCGCGGUUGCGGGUGUAAGCGCCGUCAUGAAUAAGCGCGUUUGUUGCUGCGGCGCACCUGUGCGCGUAAAGGUUUCGAUGACGUGCGUGCAAGGCAGUAGCCGACGGUGUGUGUGCGUGUGUGUCGCACUCCAUCCUGACCUCCUCCCCUCCUCUUCCACAGUCUCGCGAACUGACGCGCGCACGGUUGCGCUGAUCCAAAGA